rnacentral:rRNA from 1 species
CGGGGUGCAGCAGGCGCGAAAACUCUACAAUGCAGGCAACUGCGAUAGGGGGACAUCGAGUGGCAUCCACCUUGGGUGCCUGUCCAACCGUCUAAAAAACGGUUGUUAGCAAGGGCCGGGUAAGGCCGGUGCCAGCCGCCGCGGUAAUACCGGCGGCUCGAGUGGUGGCCGAUAUUAUUGAGUCUAAAGGGUCCGUAGCCGGCUUUGCAAGUCCCCUGGGAAAUCCAGCGGCUUAACCGUUGGGCUUUCAUGGGAUACUACAUUGCUUGGGACUGGGAGAGGUAGGAGGUACUCGGGGGGUAGGGGUGAAAUCCUGUAAUCCUCCGGGGACCACCGGUGGCGAAGGCGUCCUACCAGAACAGGUCCGACGGUGAGGGACGAAAGCUAGGGGCACGAACCGGAUUAGAUACCCGGGUAGUCCUAGCCGUAAACGAUGCCCGCUAGGUGUCGCGACGGUCGUGAAUCGUCGUGGUGCCGUAGGGAAGCCGCGAAGCGGGCCACUUGGGAAGUACGGCCGCAAGGCUGAAACUUAAAGGAAUUGGCGGGGGAGCAC